rnacentral:rRNA from 1 species
GAUGAACGCUGGCGGCGUGCCUAAUACAUGCCAGUCGAGCGAACAGACGAGGAGCUUGCUCCUCUGACGUUAGCGGCGGACGGGUGAGUAACACGUGGAUAACCUACCUAUAAGACUGGGAUAACUUCGGGAAACCGGAGCUAAUACCGGAUAAUAUAUUGAACCGCAUGGUUCAAUAGUGAAAGACGGUUUUGCUGUCACUUAUAGAUGGAUCCGCGCCGCAUUAGCUAGUUGGUAAGGUAACGGCUUACCAAGGCGACGAUGCGUAGCCGACCUGAGAGGGUGAUCGGCCACACUGGAACUGAGACAAGGUCCAGACUCCUACGGGAGGCAGCAGUAGGGAAUCUUCCGCAAUGGGCGAAAGCCUGACGGAGCAACGCCGCGUGAGUGAUGAAGGUCUUCGGAUCGUAAAACUCUGUUAUUAGGGAAGAACAAAUGUGUAAGUAACUAUGCACGUCUUGACGGUACCUAAUCAGAAAGCCACGGCUAACUACGUG